UUACGUGGGACGUAAAGCGCGCGUAGGUGGUUAGUUAAGUUGGAUGUGAAAUCCCCGGGCUCAACCUGGGAACUGCAUUCAAAACUGACUGACUAGAGUAUGGUAGAGGGUGGUGGGAAUUUACCUUGUGUAGCGGUGAAAUAGCGUAGAUAUAGGAAGGAACACCAGUGGCGAAGGCGACCACCCUCGGACUGAUACUGACACUGAGGUGCGAAAGACGUGGGGAGGCAAACAGGAUUAGAUACCCUCGGUAG
rnacentral:rRNA from 1 species